GCCGCUGUAGCUCAGUGGUAGAGCAUCGGACGCGUAAUUCGAAGGUCGCAGGUUCGGUUCCUGCCGGUGGCA
rnacentral:tRNA from 1 species